GCUUGACACUGAACAUUGAGCCUUGAUGUGUAGGAUAGGUGGGAGGCUUUGAAGCGUGGACGCCAGUCUGCGUGGAGCCAACCUUGAAAUACCACCCUUUAAUGUUUGAUGUUCUAACGUUGGCCCCUGACCGGGGUUGCGGACAGUGUCUGGUGGGUAGUUUGACUGGGGCGGUCUCCUCCCAAAGCGUAACGGAGGAGCACGAAGGUUAGCUAAUCCUGGUCGGACAUCAGGAGGUUAGUGCAAUGGCAUAAGCUAGCUUGACUGCGAGCGUGACGGCGCGAGCAGGUGCGAAAGCAGGUCAUAGUGAUCCGGUGGUUCUGAAUGGAAGGGCCAUCGCUCAACGGAUAAAAGGUACUCCGGGGAUAACAGGCUGAUACCGCCCAAGAGUUCAUAUCGACGGCGGUGUUUGGCACCUCGAUGUCGGCUCAUCACAUCCUGGGGCUGAAGUAGGUCCCAAGGGUAUGGCUGUUCGCCAUUUAAAGUGGUACGCGAGCUGGGUUUAGAACGUCGUGAGACAGUUCGGUCCCUAUCUGCCGUGGGCGCUGGAGAAUUGAGGGGGGCUGCUCCUAGUACGAGAGGACCGGAGUGGACGCAUCACUGGUGUUCGGGUUGUCAUGCCAAUGGCACUGCCCGGUAGCUAAAUGCGGAAGAGAUAAGUGCUGAAAGCAUCUAAGCACGAAACUUGCCCCGAGAUGAGUUCUCCCUGAGACUU
rnacentral:rRNA from 1 species